rnacentral:tRNA from 1 species
GGCCUCGUAGCUCACUCAGUUGGUGGGGAGCAUUUGCUGUACAAAAGCGUACGUGGCGUCCAUGCGUGGGUUCGAAUCUCACCGAGGCUA